rnacentral:rRNA from 1 species
GACGAACGCUGGCGGCGUGCUUAACACAUGCAAGUCGAACGGAAAGGCCUCUUUCGGGGGGUACUCGAGUGGCGAACGGGUGAGUAACACGUGAGUAACCUGCCCUUGACUUUGGGAUAACUUCAGGUAACUGGGGCUAAUACCGGAUAGGAGCUCCUGCUGCAUGGUGGGGGUUGGAAAGUUUCGGCGGUUGGGGAUGGACUCGCGGCUUAUCAGCUUGUUGGUGGGGUAGUGGCUUACCAAGGCUUUGACGGGUAGCCGGCCUGAGAGGGUGACCGGCCACAUUGGGACUGAGAUACGGCCCAGACUCCUACGGGAGGCAGCAGUGGGGAAUAUUGCACAAUGGGUGGAAGCCUGAUGCAGCAACGCCGUGUGCGGGAUGACGGCCUUCGGGUUGUAAACCGCUUUCGCUCAUGACGAAGCUUUGUGUGACGGUAGUGGGUAAAGAAGCACCGGCUAGCUACGUG